CCUACGGGAGGCAGCAGUGGGGAAUCUUGCGCAAUGGGCGAAAGCCUGACGCAGCAACGCCGCGUGCGGGAAGAAGGCUUUCGGGCUGUAAACCGCUUUCAGCAGGAACGAAAAUGACGGUACCUGCAGAAGAAGGAGCGGCCAACUAUGUGCCAGCAGCCGCGGUGAUACAUAGGCUUCAAGCGUUGUCCGGAUUUAUUGGGCGUAAAGAGUUCGUAGGCGGUCGAGUAAGUCGGGUGUGAAAAUUCUGGGCUCAACCCAGAGACGCCACCCGAUACUGCUUAACUUGAGUUCGAUAGGGGAGUGGGGAAUUCCUAGUGUAGCGGUGAAAUGCGCAGAUAUUAGGAGGAACACCGGUGGCGAAGGCGCCACUCUGGAUCGAUACUGACGCUGAGGAACGAAAGCAUGGGUAGCAAACAGGAUUAGAUACCCUGGUAGUCCAUGCCGUAAACGGUGGGCACUAGGUGUGGGAUUCUAUUAACGAAUUCCGCGCCGUCGCUAACGCAUUAAGUGCCCCGCCUGGGGAGUACGGUCGCAAGACUAAAACUUAAAGGAAUUGAAGG
rnacentral:rRNA from 1 species